CCACACCCAGCAGAUGUUUUUUGUAUUCUUAGUAGAGAUGGGGUUUCACCAUAUUGGCCAUGCUGGCCUUGAACUCCUGACCUCAGGUGAUCCACCCGCCUCUGCCUCACAAAGUGCUGGAAUUUGACAGGUGAGGACACUGAAAUUCAGAAAAGUUAGGUAACUUGCCCAAAGUCACACAGCUACCAAGUUGGAAAGACAGCAUUGAAACUGAGGCACAGAAUGUAUGCUCUUCACCCUUGGCAGGGUGAGAACUAUGAGAAGUCACAGACACAGGAGAACACUGGGAAAGUACUGGGAGGAAAUUGCAUCUAUUUGAUCAAAGCCACAGCUUUACAAAUCACCUCAAGCCCAUCCUGCAUGACUCAGAAUUCAUUCUGAAACGAUUCCCUCCCUCCCCAGGCAUUGCUUGACAAUUGAACAUAAAAAUAUAUCCACUAACCCAAAGUUAAUUCUCCCAAAACCUGUCACUGUCCAGAUUAUGUUUGGCAGAAUAUAAGCCACUGGAUCUGCUAAGGCAAGUUAGGGAAGGUGAAGCAAGGAUCGUGGGAGGGAGUUCUCCAGUCCAGAGAACUUCCAUUCUGCUUCAUGGCCUGCACCUGUCUGGUUCUGUUUUUCUCAUACUCACUCCAACACAAUGAAAAGUGGAAAAUAUGCCUUGAACUCCAGUGAUGUUCAUUUACUCUCUUUGAAUGUGGUCACAUGCCUCUGGGCUGGAUAUUAUUCUAAAAAAAUCACCUCCUGGAAUCCCUGAAGGUAAAAAGAGCAGCCUAGAUGCAGCACAGCUCAGCGCAUGGACGAACACGGCUCCAGCCUCCUCUUUCCAUGUUGAUGCUUGGCCUGUAGCUUAGAGGGUGGCUCUAUUACAUGAGCUUAUGAAUACUUCGAGAUAACCUAGUUGACUGUGAUGAAGUAAAGUGGUAGAUUUUAAAAAGUCAAAGAAUUUAGAAUGUAAUGGAGGAGGAGGAGAGUUGCCUUGGAAGGUGAUAAAUGUCCCACUGUGACAACACAAAGCCCUCCUCUACAUAAUACUGCAAGAACCACCUCUGGCUAAGAUACCAAGAAGGGAAAGGAUGAUCUAGAGGCAGAGAUGGGUAUUUUUUAACAUCCUAAGAAAAAUGUGAGAGUACGAUUAGAAAAAAUAUUAUACAAGAAGGAUGGUGUACAUGUGUAAACAUAAAAGAGAAGAAAACGAUAUGAAAUUCUCUAAAUAAGAGCAUUAAAAGAUGUCAUCUAAGAGUGUCCCCAAAUUGUACUGAAAACCUACCUUAAGAGUUGUGAGUCAUGCAAGGCCCAGCUUGUAUCCGCAAGUACUAGAUCGAGCAAUUAAUCUCAAAUUAGGAAAUCUUUCAUGAUGUCAAAGCUUCAGUGCUUUCAAAAACUAAGAUGCUGCAGUGAUGACAGUGAUGAUGACGAUGGUCACUAUUAUUACAAGAGCAGCAACAAUGAAACUCCUUUCUAAGUAAACAAAACCUCAGCUAAGUACUUAGAAAUCUUGGCUCAUUUAAUCCCCACACAACCGCAGGGGUUAGAUCCUUUUCACAGAUGAGAAAAUUGAGGCAUAGGGAGGCUAAACACACUCACUUGGCACCAUGAGAGGCCUCCAAGCUCCACUGAAGGUGAUGAUAAAGACAAAGAUGAAGCCAUCUGCUCCAAGAAGGUGGGCAGGUCCUUUCCAGAGGAAGACCAAAGAAGUGAAGAGUCAUUGUCAUGACAUCACACCCAGGGCCCGUCCUACCAAUACGACUCAUCACUGUUGAUUUGGACCUCGAUCACGCAGCUGAGAUGGUGUCAGGAUUCUACACUAUAAAGAUACUCUUCCCAGCUGGGCUUAGUGGCUCAUGGCUAUAAUCCCAGCACCUUGGAACGCUGAGGCAGGUGGAUCAUUUGAAGUCAGGAGUUCAAGACUGGCCUGGCCAAGAUGGCGAAAUGCCAUCUCUACUAAAAAUUAAAGAAAAAAAUUAGCUGGGUGUGGUGUUGGGCACCUGUAAUCCCAGCUAUUGUGGAGGUUGAGGCAGAAGAAUUGCUUGAACCUGGGAGGCGGAGGUUGUAGUGAGCCAAGUUCAAGACAUUGUAGUCCAACCUGGGCAAGAGAGAGAGAU